GGGGCUGUAGCUUAAUGGUAGAGCGCCUGGAGUUGACACCCAGGAGGUUCCGGUUCAAUUCCGGUCAGCUCCACCA
rnacentral:tRNA from 1 species